UGACUCUUCCAAAUUCCAAUAUUAGCAAGUUUGUUUACGUUACCCUUUUAAUAAGGGUUUAAAAAAAGAACAGAUACAACAUUUUGAUCUACCUAAGAGACACAUAAUUAUGAUUAUAUUUUCAAAUAGGGUUUUUUAAGCACUAAAAAAUUUCAGUGUUUUUAACACAACAAGCACUUCAUAUCAUCAUAUAUUAUAAAUUGGUCAUCAUAUUCUAUUUGUUGUUAAUUGUGAAGAGAGAAAAAUAUGGUUAAAACUCUUAAGUUUGUGCAUGCCAUUAUUUAUUUUUUCUCGAUAUUUCUUGUUGUUGCUGCAAUGAACAAAAAAUACCCAAUUGAUUGCGAAACUCAGGAGGAUUGCCCAGUAGCUGAGGCUGGCAAGGUUAUUUGCUAUGAGAAAAAAUGUUGGCGUCUUUUGUUUUAACAAGGCAAAAUGAAUCGAGGAGUCUUCGUGGCAUAAGAUAUACCGAACUAGACUUUAAGAGAUUAAAUAUUGCCAUCUUUAUCUAUUGAAUAAAUUACAUAUCGAAGAGAUUCCAUGUAUGGACGAAUGAGUUCUUACUCUUUUUUUUUUUUUUAAGAAAGGAAUGAGUUCUUACUCUAAUAAAAAAAAGUCGAUGUAGUAUACUUUAUAAUAAAAUAUUCUAAAUUUGAAAUUUAGUUACUAUGAUGUACCCAAUAAAUGUAUACUUUACUUCUCUUUUUUUUUUCUUA